CUGGUCGCUGUCAACUUUCGCUGC
rnacentral:siRNA from 1 species